CCUACGGGGGGCUGCAGUGGGGAAUAUUGGGCAAUGGGCGCAAGCCUGACCCAGCAACGCCGCGUGAAGGAAGAAGGCUUUCGGGUUGUAAACUUCUUUUAAGAGGGAAGAGCGGAAGACGGUACCUCUUGAAUAAGCCACGGCUAACUACGUGCCAGCAGCCGCGGUAAUACGUAGGUGGCAACCGUUGUCCGGAUUUACUGGGCGGAAAGGGCGGGCAGCCGGGAAGACAAGUCAGUUGUGAAAUCCCGCGGCUCAACCGGGGAACUGCAUUUGAAACUGUUUUUCUUGAGUAUCUGAGAGGUCAUCGGAAUUCCUGGUGUAGCGGUGAAAUGCGUAGAUAUAAGGAAGAACACCAGUGGCGAAGGCGGAUGACUGGACGGCAACUGACGGUGAGGCGCGAAAGCGUGGGGAGCAAACAGGAUUAGAUACCCGGGUAGUC
rnacentral:rRNA from 1 species